UCAAAUCCUUGCUUCUUCCAUUCAAGAAGGUUGGGGUUACGUUUGAGUGGACAUUCCGGUGACCCCAACUUUCUUGAAUAGAAGAAGCAAGAAUUUGA
rnacentral:pre_miRNA from 1 species